CCCCCCCCCCGCCUCUCCUCCAAGCUGGCAGGCUUCCGAGAGGCCAGGGCCAUAUCAGUUUCAAAGAUCGCUGUCAGGGUGCGAGCAACUGAAGUUGAAAUGGCCGGAAAGCGGAAACUUUUCUUCAGAGUUGUACAGUCGGUGGAAUAUUCAUAGAAGUGUAAUGUGACACAGGAUGCCGAGUCGGUGUCGAAACUUUGUUCCAAACCAUAUUUGCUAUUUGUAAAACUGGUCCCUCAGGGGCCAGCUACGGAUAAGGUAAGGGGUGGAGGGGAGGGCUGGCUGCCGAGUGACAGAGACGGGGCUGCAGGAGGGGCUUCUGGCCACAGGAAUUAGGGUUCUCGGGAGCGGGGAGAGAUCUGGGGUCCAGCCUUUCCCACACUGGGAGGACCACCUCUGCCUCAGGUAGGGACACCUUUCCUUCAUGUUGCCACGUGAGUUUUGUGCCUGAGUUUGAAACGUGAACUUUGGAGGAAUUGAUACAGAAUCAUUGUGCAGUUUUGCUCGUGGGGAAGUGACACCAUUUGCUUUUUCCUUGAAAGUCUCCUGGUCAGGAUGUUGAUUAAAAAAAAUAUGGCGCCAUGGAUCCUGAUGGGUGUCAUCUCUCGAUGCUGAAAGUAUAUUUUAAAACGAACCAAAGGUAUCAUCUACUGAUGACCCAAAUUUCCUUUCAAGAAUUAACAAAUCCCUCUCGUUUUUUUUUUCCCCUAGGAACUCUAUGCAUCUGUAGUUAAUCUAAGAAUUAACAUUUAGCAAAUUACUGCCUCAGUGCCUUAAAUGAGGUAUGUGCCUGGUGGCUCUGUUGAUUAGAGCCCUGUGCUAAUGAGGUCACGAGUUCAGUCCCCAGGAGGGCUGGUUCGCUUCUCCAUGGUUCCCCUCCGGACCCUGGCCACGCCUCCAGAGGAACACUGGUCACAAGUGGCCUUCUGGGGAAGAAUCAACACAAAUUCUUCACGAUUUGUGGGAAAAGACAGCUCAAAGCAGAUGCCUUGAGUUAACCUGGAAUAUGGCAGUGAUCCCAUGGGGUGGCUAAAUGGUACCCUAGGAGGCUGCAAAGACGUACUACAGACUGUGCCAGUGCUACGCUUCCUGAGGUGGCUUCCGUGCUGGGAAAGCUGGCUUUGAUGCGUGUGUGGGACUCUGUCUUGCAAGGAAAGGGGAGUGUUUUCUAGAAACAGUGAGAGGCGGGAUGCCUAUUCAAGAGGCAGAGUCAGGGGGAAGCUUUAGGGGAAUUUGGUUGCAUUUUCAUUGAUCGCUUAUUCAAAAGAUGGAUCAUUUGGGGACUGCCAAAUAGUGUCUGUCGUCAUGCACCCCCUGGGACCACUUUUCCUGUGGUCAGGCCACGCCACCGACUUGUCUCAAGCUGGCAGUAGACCCAGGAGUGAAGAGCUUUCAGGGUGUGGGGGAGUCUCACACUCACGCAUUCUCUCCAUUUUUCACUCCCAGAAACCACUUUUUCAGGUCCAGGUUGAGUUCUGAAGCUAAAUCUCAGCCAAGCAUGACUGGAUGCAUUGGUAUCCUCUGAGGUCGUUUUUUUGAGUUUAGGGAAGGAUAAUGCCUAGCGACCUCCAGCUGUGCCUGGUGACAUUCCUGGUUGAAACCAGCACCCUCACUGGCUUCCUCCUAUUUACCAAGAAUACAUUCUCCACCUCUCUUUUAAAAAAUUUUUUUUAAAAAUAAUUUUGAUCGCUAGGAGGAUGCUUUGUGUAUAGUAGGAGUUCCGUAAAUAUUUGUCAAGUGAAUGCGUGAGUGGAUGAAAGAAUCAAAUGUAGAAUUGGUUCCAUUUAGAAAAAGACAGUGUUUUUAAUUUUAUCAUUUUAUUGCUUUUCUCUUUACAAAAUUCUAUGUGGUUAUUAAAAAUAAUUUAGAAAAUAGAGAUGAGCAGAACUUAAGAAAAUAAAAAUCACCCGUAAUGCCAUCACUUGGAGAUAGCCUUUCUUGACAUUUUGGUGGUCGGCAAUUCAUGAGGCGACAGGAGCUGAGUUCUGGGCUGUCAUGGGUGCCCGUGCUGACUUGGACAGAGCAGCCCCAGGGAGCCCCUGAGAGUCAUACCUGGACCCUGCAGGGCGCCGAGCUCAAGGCCAUCUCGCACUCAGAUGACGGGGAAGUCGUGCCUCCUUGGCAAGCAGGACCCUGUGAACAGGUAAGGCAUUUCCCUGGCUGGAAGUAAACACAGGCCGUCCUUCCAGAUCCAGUGUGCACCACUGCCUGGCAGGGAGAAGGCAGGGCUUAAGUGCAGUGGGAAGAACUUGAGUUUGUGCAGGAGGAGAAAUGAGAGCUUUUCUUCUUCAGUUCAAGGGCUGCCACUGCAGCCGAUAAUACAAAGUUAUCUGACUGGGGUUUUAUGUUAUUUUACACCAGGUAAAGCUGCUUUGAGGCAACGCUGUUUCCUGGGACAGGGCCUGUGCUAGGGCCUGGGGACAAAG